rnacentral:rRNA from 1 species
UACAGAGGGUGCGAGCGUUAAUCGGAUUUACUGGGCGUAAAGCGCGUGUAGGCGGCUUUGCAAGUCGGAUGUGAAAUCCCACGGCUCAACCGUGGAAGUGCAUCCGAAACGGCAUGGCUGGAGUCCCGGAGAGGAAGGUGGAAUGCUUGGUGUAGAGGUGAAAUUCGUAGAUAUCAAGCAGAACACCUGCGGCGAAGGCGGCCUUCUGGACGGUGACUGACGCUGAGACGCGAAAGCGUGGGGAGCAAACAGG